CCUUGGUGUCCGGGCCGCCAUGGCUGACGCCGGAGCCGUUGGUUGGCCUUGAGGUCAUCCGUCGUUGGCGUCCUCGUCAUCCAUCCAACCACCAGGGAGGAGAUUCCUGAGGCAUUUGAUUCUUGUGGGAUCCCAACACAUCUUGCAAGAUCAACAACAAGUGGCUGGGCCUCUACAUUAUUCAGAAAAGCUAUUUUUAUCUUUCAUUUAUUUGUCUAAUUUAUGUGCCCGUGUAUUCGCCUCCGUUCCGCUCUUGUUGAAGUUCCAACGAAUUUCUGUGCUACCUAAGAGGUACUAAUGCUCAUAUAUUACAAUUUGGUACCCACGACCUUCAGUCACGGGAUCUUGAGAAAAGCAGUUUAGGCAUUUUGUUUGUGUCAACUAUACAGAAUCCCUGCGGUUCGAUUUUUGGUUUGUAGGCAACCAACACAAUAUGCAGGCAAACAGAGAUGAGGUUUUGCUGUAGUAGGCAAAUAUUCAUUGUCCAUUUUAUGUGUUUGUAGGCAACUGAAGUACUCAACCUGUAUAUAUCCAUUAAUUCAUGUACAAGCCAAUCUUUUUUGGCAUAUCCGUUGCAUGAUCAACCUAUGUAUGUUUGUAAUUUUGCCUUACUAAGCUGCUAUACAUAUACUCAGUUUGUCUUUACUAAGCUGCUAUACAUACACUCAAUCUUGUGGUGAUUACAGCUUUGAGCUUGCAACUGAACCUUAAGACUACUAAUUACUUUUGUGGAUGGUUAAACCUGAAAUCUGAAACAAAAUCUGGUAGCAGUCUUGCCCCCCUCAGCAAAAAAAUAUGCAUUGAGGUCAGCUAUCUUCAACGUCCCUUUUUUCGUUUCAGUAAUGCAUGACCAUAGCGUGACAUGAAGUUCUAUCUUGAUCCUUGCCAUGCUACUGCUUUGUUGAACCAUCUCAAGGCGUAUGGACCUGGUUCUUUUUAAGCACAAUUUUCUUUUAUUGUCUUUACAUGCUCAUUUAAUUCGUUUAUGUUUCCUUUUCCGUUGCGGUGGUGGAUGAUAUAUUCUCUGCCAUGAAUGGAUGUUUUUGGCGUUGUGAGAUGGCGUAGGUAACUGAUGAGCUAUGUUUUUAAGGUAGUAAGGCGAGGCAAGGCGCUGGGGGGGCGCCUCACCGCCUAAGCGGUAAGGCAUAAGGCAAGGCGGACGCCUUAGAGAGUUCUGACCAGUAGAAUGAAGUAGAACUUGGUAGGCAACUAGGCAUACACACUACACAUCUUGCACUUGCUGCUGGUUGUAGAGUCCAUAUAGCUCACCUCUGUGCAGUCUGUAUGCUAAUGAGGAGAACGUCCCUCUAUUAAUUUUGGGUGUUGGGUUCUGUUUAGUGAAAUUUUGAAAAUAGUUGGCCUGGUAAAACACCACUGUUUGCCCUGUGGGUCAAUAGGGACUUGACAAACAAAAAAUGCAUCACUCUCCAUUUAAUGGCCUAAAAACACUGGCAUGUUUGGAUGAAAUUUUCAUCUAUAUGUAUAAGCCGUGGGCUAUUCCAAGAAGAGGGUGACUAUGCAUCAGUUGUACAAUCAUGUGUCCAUCUGCUGCUUUUUUGAAUCGUAUAAAAUCUAGAGCUACCUUACAAAACUAUUCUGUUUACUAUGGAGUAAAAUCUAGAGCUAGCUUAUAAUACUGCUUGAAAAUAGCUUUGGCUCUUCACACCUGGGAGUAAUAUGACAGUUUGCAUUCCUAUUUUUGUUUUCUCUGUAUAUAUAUACAGUUUUGAUAUUCUAUUUGUUUGCUCCUGAAGCUUAUGUUUUCCUUUUUCAGAAUUGAGUGUGUAUGAACAAAGCAAUAGAGGUUGUGUUAAUUCCUAGAGCCUAAUAUGUUCUUUUGUCUCCUGGUGAUUAGUUCGAAUGGCCGUGUGAGUUUCGCCGGCCUGUCUCGGCUCAUGUUAGGCACCAUGUCUCGGCUCAUGUCACGGUGACAUGGUGUCUAUAGCCUGUUGGGGCGCCUGCGGGUAUUCUCACUGACCACCUCUGCUUGUUUUGGCUCCUUCUAAUUGAUGUGUUACUUUGUCUAUUUUCAUGUACCCAGAUCCCUGACAAAAUCCAUGUAUUUAGCCGUGGCAUGUUUGGCAGCUGCAGCCGCGUGGCAAUUAAUUAAUUCUCAUUCAACGUAAUUUACUUCUCCCCCUUCAUGUAUCAUGGAUGGAUAUACAUGGUGGUUGGCUGUUAUUAUCGAAGCAAGAGUUACUGAUGAUGACUACAUUUGAGCUGGUUUGCUGCUUACAAAUCGGUAGAGUGAUUUAUCUUGCUAAUGCAUAUAUAGUUAUGAAUGCAGCUCUUUCGCAUCUAGAGAUUGUAUGGCAGCUGCCUCAUAUUUGUACAGUAGACCUGAUCUCCUAAUAGUAUUUUGUGAUGCACAUAUUUUUAUUUCUUUUGAUUUUGCCUUGGUUGUUAUUUAUGCUUAUAGCUUCAUGUCUGGGAUUCUAUUUCAGGGCACUGUUUUAGUUGUUAGUUCAGGUGCUUUUGAUUUUCUGAAUGUAUCUAGGUAAUGUCGAAGAUGCUCUGCUCUUAUUUUUCAGACAUUUACUUUGCUUAUUUUGCUUCUCCUUAGCCUCUUAUCAGUGCCAAUCUUCUUUUAAAUAGCAGGGACAUUCUUUUACUUUUAGGAGGGCAUAUUUUUCCUGGGCCCUGAUGGGUCUUUUCAUAUAUUUCAGAUAUCAGUGGUCCAUGUCACAAUAAACAAGUGAUUCGUACUUAAACAUGACAUGGGGAACCUUGGAUACACCAUUCAGGACAGGGAUAUACUCGAUCUGAGAGAACAUGGGCUUCUUGCCUCCGUCUUUUGUACCCAGUUUACUAGAUAUUAGAUAACAGUGGGUAUUUAAAAAAAAUUGUUACAGAAGUGCCUUGAAUAUAUUCAGCAUAAAUGGGAUG